rnacentral:lncRNA from 1 species
CAGCACAACCCAAACAAUUGCUCAUAAUUAAACUGAUUGGAGGAGCAGACACUGGCAGGAAAUACACUGCUGGCAGCGGUCCGAUAGCACUUCAUUGUACUGAAUUUAGAACAAUUACAUCAGUUCCUUUCAUUUUGCAGAAAAAGAGGAGGGGGGGCUGCUUUUUUAUCUUCUGCUCUCUACCAGCAAAAUCGAUGUUUAUCAAAUCUUGUGAAGAUGAUUUGGACAUUUUUAAUGAACUAUGGUUCUAAGCCUUGUCUACUAGUAUUAACAGCUCCUUGGGAGCCGUAACUGUAGCUGAUGCUCCUAGCUUCCACAAAAUCAUAGGGGUUGGAGGGGACCUCUGCAGAACAUCUUACGUAACCCUCUGCUAAAACAGGUUGCCGACAGCAGGUCACCCAGCAAAGUGUCCAGCAAAGAGAGCAGUUUACAAAUAACCACGUUCAACUGUGCUUAUUUAAGAAGCAAACAAAGAAAAUAAAAUGCACUGAAGUAACGUCAUGUCUUUGGGGAAAAUCCUGUUGCAUUAUCUUCCUCUGACGCACUUAAAUGGAAGAGAAACACACC